rnacentral:rRNA from 1 species
UGUUACCUACGGGAGGCAGCAGUAGGGAAUAUUGCUCAAUGGGGGAAACCCUGAAGCAGCAACGCCGCGUGGAGGAUGAAGGUUUUAGGAUUGUAAACUCCUUUUGUUAGAGAAGAUUAUGACGGUAUCUAACGAACAAGCACCGGCUAACUCCGUGCCUGCAGCCGCGGUAAUACGGAGGGUGCAAGCGUUACUCGGAAUCACUGGGCGUAAAGAGUGCGUAGGCGGGGUAAUAAGUCGGAUGUGAAAUCCUGUAGCUUAACUACAGAACUGCAUUUGAAACUGUUACUCUGGAGUGUGGGAGG